rnacentral:rRNA from 1 species
GCCAGACUCCUACGGGAGGCAGCAGUGGGGAAUAUUGCACAAUGGGCGAAAGCCUGAUGCAGCAACGCCGCGUGAAGGAAGACGGUUUUCGGAUUGUAAACUUCUGUUCUUAGUGAAGAAUAAUGACGGUAACUAAGGAGCAAGCCACGGCUAACUACGUGCCAGCAGCCGCGGUAAUACGUAGGUGGCAAGCGUUAUCCGGAUUUACUGGGUGUAAAGGGCGUGUAGGCGGGACUGCAAGUCAGAUGUGAAACCCAUGGGCUCAACCCAUGGCCUGCUCUGGAAACUGUAGAACUAGAGUGCAGGAGGGGUAAGUGGAAUUCCUAGUGUAGCGGUGAAAUGCGUAGAUAUUAGGAGGAACACCAGUGGCGAAGGCGGCUUACUGGACUGUAACUGACGUUGAGGCUCGAAAGCGUGGGGAGCAAACAGGAUUAGAUACCCUUGUA